UAAGGGCGCACGGUGGAUGCCUUGGCACUAGAAGCCGAUGAAGGACGUUACUAACGACGAUAUGCUUUGGGGAGCUGUAAGUAAGCUUUGAUCCAGAGAUUUCCGAAUGGGGAAACCCAGCAUGAGUUAUGUCAUGUUAUCGAUAUGUGAAUACAUAGCAUAUCAGAAGGCACACCCGGAGAACUGAAACAUCUUAGUACCCGGAGGAAGAGAAAGAAAAUUCGAUUCCCUUAGUAGCGGCGAGCGAAACGGGAAGAGCCCAAACCAACAAGCUUGCUUGUUGGGGUUGUAGGACACUCUAUACGGAGUUACAAAGGACGACAUUAGACGAAUCAUCUGGAAAGAUGAAUCAAAGAAGGUAAUAAUCCUGUAGUCGAAAAUGUUGUCUCUCUUGAGUGGAUCCUGAGUACGACGGAGCACGUGAAAUUCCGUCGGAAUCUGGGAGGACCAUCUCCUAAGGCUAAAUACUCUCUAGUGACCGAUAGUGAACCAGUACCGUGAGGGAAAGGUGAAAAGCACCCCGGAAGGGGAGUGAAAUAGAACCUGAAACCGUGUGCUUACAAGUAGUCAGAGCCCGUUAAUGGGUGAUGGCGUGCCUUUUGUAGAAUGAACCGGCGAGUUACGAUUUGAUGCAAGGUUAAGCAGUAAAUGUGGAGCCGUAGCGAAAGCGAGUCUGAAUAGGGCGUUUAGUAUUUGGUCGUAGACCCGAAACCAGGUGAUCUACCCUUGGUCAGGUUGAAGU
rnacentral:rRNA from 1 species